CCACCAGCCCCUUCCCACACCGCCACCCCUCUCUUCCGCUUGCGCGUUCUUUCCCCGCCCGCACCUCCGACAUGGUUUCAUGGCCGCCGCCUGGCCCGCCUAUGGAAACCGGCACCAUCACGCGGCCAAAUCUUUGACGCCACCAUGCAUGGUCAAGGGGCAGGAAGCAGGUUAACACGACUAAAUUCAUUGCCGCGGGAGCUGCCAAGGGCGGCGGAUCAUCGUCUUCGGCGCCAGGGGCCAGCGACGGUCACGCACGACGACGUGUCUGCGAUGGCGGAUGGCGGUCAAGCCAGCGGGAUGGGAGACGACGAGCAGCAGAAACAGUCUUGCUCCGUCGGGCAUCGGCGCGCACCGGCCAUAGGUGACCAACACCUGCUCGAGGGAGGACGCAGCCCCGCCCCCAAGCACUUCAUUCGGAAGAAACGGCAACCAUGGCCGAUCCCAAAGCUCGCCAGAGCAACAUCGUCCUCCAGAGGUUCCUCUCGUUCGUCUAUGGCCCAUGGCUCCUCGGCUUCGGAUUGGGUAAGGGAUGUCAGGGCGGAGGACGCUUGUCAACCCAAGCGCAUGCACGGUGUCGAGAUCUUCAGGACCAGGGACGCGAGCCACGCCCGCGCUCAGCCGCCUUGGAGCCUCGUGCGGCGCAUCAUCGUUAUCAGCUGAGGCGCCUGGACAUCCCGCGGGAGGAUCUACGACCUCCUCGUCGUUCUUGCGCUUCUCUGGUGCUCAACGUAUUGUCAUGCGUGAUGUUUUACAUCAUCGGCAGAAAAGCGAGUCUGGUCCGUCCGGAGAGAAGCAGGACAGGGUGAGCAUUUUUCAGGUCUGUAGGUUUACAUGGGUUCUGAUCUGAUGGUUCCAUUUUUUCAUGCUAUUUAUUUUCUUCACUAACAGUUAGUGAUCUGAAUGUUUCGGGAUUCAGCAAAAGGCCUUGGAAUUCCUUAUCUGUAUACUACUCCCUCCAUUCGGAAUUACUUGUCGCGGAAAUGGAUGUAUCUAGACGUAUUUUAGUUCUAGAUACAUCGGUUUCCGAGACGAGUAAUUCCGAACGGAGGGAGUACUUCGUUUUCGUUCGACCCAGCCCUGCUACAACAUAUCAUUGUUAUGUUCUGUUGUGCCAUGGUGAUUUGUGUGUAACUGAAAUUCAGAAUGAACUCAAGUUGGCAUGUGCCAGUGCCUGCGAUAUUCUCAGGUUGCACGUUCUCGAAUGCUGAAUGUUUAGUCUUUUCAGACUCCAGAUUGCCUCCAGUUGAACGAAGUCGAGCUGUCGCCCGUCACCUUGCUGCCGUUCUUCUCCCCUUCCGACCGGCGGUAAUUUACCGAUGCUUCCUGGCUUCAGUUAUCAGUUUAAAUAUGCAAAUAUUCACCUCCUUUCGCAAUUCUGGUCAGUUUAAAUAUGACUGUUGAGGAUCCAUUUAUACUUCUACAUGGUUUUAGAAUAUGGAUAAAAUCACUAUCACAGUAAUGUGAUUUGUUCUGUAGCUUGUGUUUGGCACUUGGAAACAACAUAAUAGAAAUUUGGUUGCUCAGGUAAGGUAAGGGAAAAAAAUUAUUGCCCCAUUGUUUUUCUGUUUGUCUGCUUGUGAUCAUAAUCUUUUUUAAGCCCGUAUAAUUUUAUGUUGUUGUGAAAGUGCUAUACUUUCAAAUGACCCUUCGUUAUUGGAUUAUCCAUUUGUAUUUAACCCUUGCAAGUUUUCAUUCUUUCAUUGCUUCUGAUGUAAUACUAUUUGUGCUAUACUUUCAAUUAACUGUUUUGAAAUUCUAAGCUUUGUAACAUUUGUUCGGAGUUAUCAUGUUGUACCCAUGGCAAGUCGAACAUACAUGGCAUGUUGUGUGUAAGAGAGGAAAUUAGUGUCUUAUAUUUAGAAGAUCAUGGUCCUAAUGUCUGAUCGGUGUUGAGGCUCCUUUGCCAUUAUUAUUUUUCUUAUCCAUUAUACAUUGUUUAACAUUUAUGCUUUUAAAAUGCUGAUGGACAAGAAUAAUCCAGUUGCACAUCCAUUUACGUUAGGGGAUUGUUCCCCAUUUAAGGACGUACCAAACUCAUUUGUAAAUGGAAAUGCAGAAAGUAAUCAUACUCGAAAACCUAAAAAGAAAUGUAGUCAAUCAUGGUAUGCCAGAAUAUCUGAUGAGAGGAAAGCGGAAUUCCUCAAGAAGAGUCGUGUCGCCCGGCAACAAAGAAGGUUGCAGCCCUGGGUAGUGUUAACCAUGCACAGAAAUCAUGUGCACAUGCUUCUUCAAUAGGUCAGAACCCAUCGAUCUCGAGGUUGACCGCGUGGUCGCGCCAGAAUACGAAACUGCUGCCACCGAGAUAAUUUGGCACAGUUGUGUCUGUCUAGAGGACAAAAUUGGCGUGGUGAUCGAGGAGGUCCUUCUUUGACAGGCAAGGCGCUCAUGAACAAUCCACCACUCAUGCCAUUGCGCUUUGCUUCCACUUCCAUUGGUAUUUCUUAAGCGAAAGAAUUGUCUUCCCUAUCUUAAUUUUAUUUCCUUGCUUGUUUUUUGAAUGGUGCAUCAGCUCGGAUAGUUUUUGCACUCAUGUUACCUGUGAUGAUAUUGAGGUUAUGAUAAUUUACAUUUUACCCCCGGCAUAUAUAUGCUUCUAGCUGCAUUGACUUAAUGAUCGAAAGGAAUGAUGUGUAUGAUGUUACAUUUUUCCAUCAAUGGCAUUUAGGGCAUCUACAAUGCCAGCCGCUUAUACACACGCUUACGAGCCAACACCAGCUCAAGAACAACGUGAGUGAUGCCGUGAAGUUAAAUUCCUUGACUCCGUACAUAAAUGCUUAGGUACAUUAAAGAGUUUUUUUCUUUUUGGUUAUAGCUUUUCCAAAACUUCAAGUACAAAUUCUUUUGUAAUAAUAUUUAUUUUACUUUUAUGAUUGGACUAUUUUCUUUGAUAUACGUGAAUUUUCACGUGCACGCUUACUAGUUUCGUCAAAAGUGACACGCAUCCCUUGCCGACCGGGUAGAGGAUCGGCCGUGAUUCCGGACGGCUGCGUCGCGAGUGCUCCUAGUCCACCUCCAGUUGUCGCUGACUGAAAAAAUCCACCCCCUUUUCUCUUCCUCCCACGUCUGGCGCCUCUCUCUCCACCACCGUAUCCUCUUCUCCCCCCUCCUGCCAUCGCGUUGCAAACCCUCGCAAUCAUGGACGGGAGCGGUACCAGCGAUGGCGGGGACGGCGGCGGGUCGCUCCGGCCGAUGGACGCGGAGCAGCUGCGGGAGUGCGGGCACCGGAUGGUGGAUUUCAUCGCCGAUUACUACAAAUCCAUGGAGACAUUUCCCGUCCUCAGCCAAGUCCAGCCAGGAUAUCUAAAGGAACUUCUUCCAGAUUCAGCUCCUAACCAACCUGAUACUUUGGAUGCCCUUUUUGACGAUAUUCGUGAGAAGAUGAUACCUGGAGUAACUCAUUGGCAAAGUCCAAGUUAUUUUGCAUACUAUCCCUCAAAUAGCAGCACUGCUGGAUUCCUGGGGGAGAUGCUUAGUGCUGCCUUUAACAUCGUUGGCUUCAGUUGGAUAACCUCUCCUGCUGCAACUGAGCUAGAGGUUAUAGUCUUAGAUUGGUUUGCAAAAAUGCUUAAGCUUCCAAGCCAAUUUCUGUCAGAUGUGCCUGGUGGAGGAGUAAUCCAGGGUACUGCCAGUGAAGCAGUUCUUGUUGUACUAUUGGCUGCACGAGAUAGAACUUUAAAGAAGCAUGGGAAAAAAUCCCUUGAAAAGUUAGUAGUUUAUGCAUCUGAUCAGACACAUUCUGCUCUGCAAAAGGCAUGCCAGAUUGCAGGAAUUUUCCCAGAGAACUUCAGAGUUGUCAAAGCUGACUGUAGUAAGAACUAUGCUGUUGCACCUGAAGCGGUGACAGAGGCCAUUUCCAUUGACUUGUCAUCUGGCUUGAUACCAUUCUUCAUCUGUGCAACAGUAGGCACAACAUCUUCAUCGGCCGUGGACCCCUUGCCUGAACUAGGAAACAUAGCACAGGGCCAUGACAUGUGGUUCCACAUUGAUGCUGCAUAUGCUGGAAGUGCUUGUAUAUGCCCAGAGUAUCGACAUCAUCUUGAUGGAGUGGAAAAAGCUGAUUCAUUCAAUAUGAAUGCACACAAAUGGUUCCUCACAAACUUCGACUGUUCUUUGCUAUGGGUUAAGGACAGGAGUUAUCUUGUGGAAGCAUUGUCUACAAAUCCAGAGUUUCUUAAGAAUAAGGCUUCCCAAGCAAAUUCUGUUGUUGAUUUCAAGGAUUGGCAAAUUCCACUUGGUCGUCGUUUUAGUGUAUGACAGUCAUCAUAAUUAUGGAAGUGUUGGCUUCUACAAAGAUUGGAUUAUCACCCUUACUGUUCGAGUUACGUAAACCGACAGUUCAGAUUCAAGAUCACAGGAACAGAUCCAACACUACUGAUAUUGUAAGGGAUGUAAAGCAUAUCUUCAUAUGACGGACAAAGGUGUUGUACGCAGCAAAAUAUGCACGAUGGCAUAGCAGAACAAGAAGUUUCAACGCUAACCUAUUACAAGGUGUUUUGGAGCCAAAAAAAGGAUAAAACUGUUUGUCUCACGUACAACAGGUGAUAAGUUAAGCCGGUUCAUAAAUCGUGGCCUGGCUAGCUUGAUGUUUGUGGAUCAUACCUUGCCGGUUCGUCUUCCUCCACCGCCUGGAAAUUGGAUUUGGUCCAAUCAAAGCUAUGUACGGUGAUAAAUUCAGCCUUGUCAUCUAUCAGACCAGACAGGUCAAUCUCAGGGGCAAAGGUGUGCUUACGAUUCGGUGGGAUUAAAUCCAUCACUUUAUAUGCAGGAGUUGCUAGUCUCUUAUUUUCAAUAUCAAAACCCGGCUGAUAUUUGUCAAGUUCGGUCUCAUUGACAAGGAUUGUAGCACACGGGCGAAUUUCCUUCACGCAGGCAGCAAAAUCUUGUUGGUCAAAAGGUGU